UCAAGAAACUUCCACAAUGGGCGAAAGCCUGAUGGAGCGACGUCGCGUGAUGGACGAAGUGCUUCGGCACGUAAACAUCUUUUAUGUGGGAUGAAAUUAUUGACAGUACCACAUGAAUAAGGGGCUCCUAACUCUGUGCCAGCAGGAGCGGUAAUACAGAGGCCCCAAGCGUUAUCCGGAAUCACUGGGCGUAAAGGGUGUCGAGGCGGUUGUAUUAGUCGUUCAUAAAAUCUACGAGCUUAACUUGUAGGCGGCGAACGAAACGGUACGACUUGAGGUUUGGAGAGGUGCGUGGAACUCACGGUGUAGGGGUGAAAUCCGUUGAUAUCGUGGGGAACACCAAAGGCGAAGGCAGCGCACUGGCCAAAAUCUGACGCUCACACACGAAAGCUAGGGUAGCGAAGAGGAUUAGAUACCCAGGUAGUCCCUGAGCGGGCUGGCAAGGCGCAU
rnacentral:rRNA from 1 species